CGACCGCGACCCCAGGUCAGGCGGGA
rnacentral:rRNA from 7 species